AGUCGAAGGUAACAGGAAGCAGCUUGCUGCUUCGCUGACGAGUGGCGGACGGGUGAGUAAUGUCUGGGAAACUGCCUGAUGGAGGGGGAUAACUACUGGAAACGGUAGCUAAUACCGCAUAACGUCGCAAGACCAAAGAGGGGGACCUUCGGGCCUCUUGCCAUCGGAUGUGCCCAGAUGGGAUUAGCUAGUAGGUGGGGUAACGGCUCACCUAGGCGACGAUCCCUAGCUGGUCUGAGAGGAUGACCAGCCACACUGGAACUGAGACACGGUCCAGACUCCUACGGGAGGCAGCAGUGGGGAAUAUUGCACAAUGGGCGCAAGCCUGAUGCAGCCAUGCCGCGUGUAUGAAGAAGGCCUUCGGGUUGUAAAGUACUUUCAGCGGGGAGGAAGGGAGUAAAGUUAAUACCUUUGCUCAUUGACGUUACCCGCAGAAGAAGCACCGGCUAACUCCGUGCCAGCAGCCGCGGUAAUACGGAGGGUGCAAGCGUUAAUCGGAAUUACUGGGCGUAAAGCGCACGCAGGCGGUUUGUUAAGUCAGAUGUGAAAUCCCCGGGCUCAACCUGGGAACUGCAUCUGAUACUGGCAAGCUUGAGUCUCGUAGAGGGGGGUAGAAUUCCAGGUGUAGCGGUGAAAUGCGUAGAGAUCUGGAGGAAUA
rnacentral:rRNA from 1 species